rnacentral:rRNA from 1 species
GAUGAACGCUGGCGGCGUGCCUAAUACAUGCAAGUCGAGCGAACAGAUAAGGAGCUUGCUCCUUUGAAGUUAGCGGCGGACGGGUGAGUAACACGUGGGUAACCUACCUAUAAGACUGGGAUAACUUCGGGAAACCGGAGCUAAUACCGGAUAACAUUUAGAACCGCAUGGCUCUAAAGUGAAAGAUGGUUUUGCUAUCACUUAUAGAUGGACCCGCGCCGUAUUAGCUAGUUGGUAAGGUAACGGCUUACCAAGGCGACGAUACGUAGCCGACCUGAGAGGGUGAUCGGCCACACUGGAACUGAGACACGGUCCAGACUCCUACGGGAGGCAGCAGUAGGGAAUCUUCCGCAAUGGGCGAAAGCCUGACGGAGCAACGCCGCGUGAGUGAUGAAGGGUUUCGGCUCGUAAAACUCUGUUAUUAGGGAAGAACAAAUGUGUAAGUAACUGUGCACAUCUUGACGGUACCUAAUCAGAAAGCCACGGCUAACUACGUGCCAGCAGCCGCGGUAAUACGUAGGUGGCAAGCGUUAUCCGGAAUUAUUGGGCGUAAAGCGCGCGUAGGCGGUUUCUUAAGUCUGAUGUGAAAGCCCACGGCUCAACCGUGGAGGGUCAUUAGAAACUGGGAAACUUGAGUGCAGAAGAGGAAAGUGGAAUUCCAUGUGUAGCGGUGAAAUGCGCAGAGAUAUGGAGGAACACCAGUGGCGAAGGCGACUUUCUGGUCUGUAACUGACGCUGAUGUGCGAAAGCGUGGGGAUCAAACAGGAUUAGAUACCCUGGUAGUCCACGCCGUAAACGAUGAGUGCUAAGUGUUAGGGGGUUUCCGCCCCUUAGUGCUGCAGCUAACGCAUUAAGCACUCCGCCUGGGGAGUACGACCGCAAGGUUGAAACUCAAAGGAAUUGACGGGGACCCGCACAAGCGGUGGAGCAUGUGGUUUAAUUCGAAGCAACGCGAAGAACCUUACCAAAUCUUGACAUCCUUUGAAAACUCUAGAGAUAGAGCCUUCCCCUUCGGGGGACAAAGUGACAGGUGGUGCAUGGUUGUCGUCAGCUCGUGUCGUGAGAUGUUGGGUUAAGUCCCGCAACGAGCGCAACCCUUAAGCUUAGUUGCCAUCAUUAAGUUGGGCACUCUAGGUUGACUGCCGGUGACAAACCGGAGGAAGGUGGGGAUGACGUCAAAUCAUCAUGCCCCUUAUGAUUUGGGCUACACACGUGCUACAAUGGACAAUACAAAGGGCAGCUAAACCGCGAGGUCAUGCAAAUCCCAUAAAGUUGUUCUCAGUUCGGAUUGUAGUCUGCAACUCGACUACAUGAAGCUGGAAUCGCUAGUAAUCGUAGAUCAGCAUGCUACGGUGAAUACGUUCCCGGGUCU